GAGGAAUGGCACAGGUAUCCGAUUCGGCUUUCCGUUUUACCAACCGGCGCCAGCGUCCGCCGAGAUUCUUGCGGAAGCCCUUCGCAAACCCAGGCCUAUGCGAUGGCAAGGCGUGUACAAGAGUAUCCUGUAAAACCAGACAGAAGCUCACCACAGAUUUAUAUUAUUAGCUAAAAUUCCGGCGAUUCUAAUCCUGCCAAUAUCGCAGACAGAGGAAAGAUAUUUUUUUUCAAGAAAUAAACGCCUCGACAGCUGCAGCCUAUUCGGUACUCAACGAUACGUAGACGCCCACCGGCGACGCUAAAUUUAGCGUCAGGUCGGAGAAGCAUCAAGAACUGCACCCAUUUCACCGGUGUAUUUAUAGGUACAUUCUAUCGCUUUUUAUUAGAUCUAAUAAAAUAAUUUUAUCGCGGUAUCAUGUCCGUGUAAAAUUAAUUACAGUUUAUACAAUGCAACUAAGAAUUUACGAUACAUUAUUAAUUUGUUAAUAACGUGUUAAUAUAAUGAAAUUAUUUUUCUGAAUUCGAUAACGAUUAUUUCAAGUACUCUAAAUAUAAAGUUUUUUUAAUUUUCCGUUUUUAAUAAAGAAAUUAAUUUUUCUCAUCAACUCUUCUCUAUAUGCAAAUCUAUUUUAUUGCAGAAUCAUUAAAUUGUGCCAUGACUUAAUUGUACAAUGAGGAUAAGUUUUCUAGAAAAAAUUUUUAGAAUAUUUUAUUAUUUUUAGGUAACAAUAUCAAAUGAAUAUAUAAAAAAUAAAUUAAAAAAAAACGAUGUUCUAUUCGUCGUGAUCGAAUAAGCUUUUCCACGUUGUGUUAAAGCGAUAAAAGGCAUUUUGCAGCCAAUCCACUGAUCGCGGCUUGUACGGCGGGAAUAAUCGAUCGUCCACGAAGUAGCGUAAAACCGCGAUGGCCGCAGAUCGUUUUUUUGGAAUAUGAAUUGAAAUAAGGACAUUAACAUUCGAGCGUGCAUGAAGAAGUUUGUAAGACCUAUCGUACGUUUUUGUCGUAAGGAAAUCGACCCUUACAGAAUUUCAGCCGCAACUGCGUUACCACUUUCUACGCUUGCGAAUCUUUUUUUGGAUAUCUCCGGUCGAGGACAUCGCAUGUCCUCGAGUCAUUGGACAGUAUAGCAGGGACAAACCAGUAAAAUCUGGUAAUACUGGCUCCACCGGUUAAGCGGUUAGUCGUUGAGACAGUUAGAUCAACUGAUAGAUCGCGAGAAAGAAUGAUCAAUGGUUAUCUACAUCUGCUUCAAUAUCAUCGAUUUCUAAUUUAUGAUCAACAAUCCGAUAAAAGUUAUUGAUUAAGGAUUGAAAAACGUUUUGAAAAUCUUAAUAUAUUUUUAGGUAAAUUAAAAAACUUAGAAAUUUGAGAAAAAUAAAUUAGAUUUUUGUCCUUUACUGCAUAUUGCGUUUUACCUUUAAGCAAAUAAAUAUAUAACAUUAUAAUUUAUAAAUUAAUAAUAAAUAGAUAAUUGAUGAAGAACGAUGUUGAAUUUCCAGAAUCUCGAAUUUGAGAACCACUGAGAUGAUAAAUACGCUAUAUUCAAAGUUAAUGCCACUGACCUAAGCUAAUCGAGUCUUACCGCGCAAAUGGCUUGGAACACAGAAAAUAAUAUUCUCUUCCGUAUUGUUAUAUCUUACAGAAAAACAUAACAAAAUAUGUUGAAACAGUUUUAGUAUAUAAAAUUGAGACACUCUAUAAGCCUCUGAUUAUAUAAGACUAUCAAUUUCUAAAACA